rnacentral:tRNA from 1 species
GCAGCUGUGGUGUAAUGGUGAACUGCCUCCCUCCCAAGGAGGCGAUCUGGGUUCGAUUCCGCGCAGCUGCA